GGUUAAGAGACCUGGUUAGGGCAUCAGCAUGUCUUGGCAUGAAUCCCAGGUCUGCUACUAAUUUUUGUGACUAGGGACUGAUGCUAUAACCUCUCCGGAUCUCCUUUCCUUGAAUGCACAGCAGGGGUAAAAGCACCUACCUCGUGUGUGCUCGGUUGCAGACUUAGAGUCCUUCCUUGGAAUGCUUUGCUCUGCUCUUCUUGGCUUGUUGGGCUCCCCGAGAUCUCCCUGGAAAACAUCUUCUGCGCUGGGUGUCCCCUUUUUAUAAAUGCUCCCAUGGGGAAAGUUCUGAUUCAUCCACUCCAGCUAAAUGGGUGAGACUCAGAGGGAUCAGAUGGAGAAGCUGGCUUUGGGGAAGCCUCACACUCUUCAUUAGUCAACAACAAAGAUAACAGCUACCAGGAUUUGAGCACUUACUUGGAUUAUCAUAACAGCCCUAUGAAGGAGAACCUGUCAUGAUCACUCCCAUGUUACAGAUGUCAUUAAGCUGUACAUUAUGAUGGGAGUACUACUGGAGUAGGGCAGACCCUUAAUCCAACAAGACCAGUGUCCUUAUAAAGAGAGGACAAGGAAACUCUAAAUGGACACAGAGGAAGAGAAUGCUAUGCGGUGACAGAAACGGGGACUGGAACAACAUGCCUGAGAGCUUAGAUGGUGCCAGUGGCCAUGUUGUAAGCCAACCUAUGGAGAGACCCCCAGGGUAAGGAACUGGAGACAGCCUCUAGCCAAUAGCCAAUGAAAAACAGAAGGCUUCAUUACUCAGUGUUAAUGGAACGGAAUUCUGCCAACAAACACAUGAAUUGGGAAGUGGCUCCUUCCCCAGUCAACCUUGCAGAUGAGACUGCAGACCCAGACAACACUGUGACUGCAGUUUCAUAAGAGAUCCUGAGCGGAGGAUCUUGCAAAGCCUGGAUUCCUGACCCACAGAAAACAUGAGAUAAUAAGUGUUUGUAGUUUUCGGCCACAAAGUUUGUGGUGACGUGUUAC
rnacentral:lncRNA from 1 species